GACGAACGCUGGCGGCGUGCCUAACACAUGCAAGUCGAACGGAGAGAUAUGAGAGCUUGCUCUUGUAAAUCUUAGUGGCGAACGGGUGAGUAACGCGUAAACAACCUGCCCAACGGAUGGGACGAACAGACGGAACGACUGCUAAUACCCAACUAGACUCCGGUUUCGUCAUGAAACCGAACAGGAAAGGUAGGCCUCUCGAAGAAGCUACCGCCGCAGGAGGGGUUUGCGGUUUGAUUAG
rnacentral:rRNA from 1 species